AUACGGAGGAUGCGAGCGUUAUCCCGAUUUAUUGGGUUUAAAGGGAGCGUAGGUGGGAUAUUAAGUCAGCUGUGAAAGUUUGGGGCUCAACCUUAAAAUUGCAGUUGAUACUGGUUUCCUUGAGUACGGUACAGGUGGGCGGAAUUCGUGGUGUAGCGGUGAAAUGCUUAGAUAUCACGAAGAACUCCGAUCGCGAAGGCAGCUCACCGGGCCGGAACUGACACUGAUGCUCGAAAGUGCGGGUAUCAAACAGGAUUAGAUACCCUGGUAGUCCACGCAGUAAACGAUGAUUACUAGCUGUUUGCGAUAUACAGUAAGUGGCACAGCGAAAGCGUUAAGUAAUCCACCUGGGGAGUACGCCGGCAACGGUGAAACUCAAAUGAAUUGGCGGGG
rnacentral:rRNA from 1 species